AUUCUACAAACACUGACUCGUAGCUCACAAAAUCGUUCCACGUAUCGAGUCCCUCAUCCGCACGCUUCACCCACUAAAUCCCUCUCUCUCUCUCGGCUCUCUCUGAGAAGGUGGAUCAUUUUUCUAGGGUUUGUGAGCUGAAACUUCAGUUACUGAACAACGAGAGUGGCCGUUGAUUGAUUAGGGAACAUGUCUUCUCUGGGAACUUCAAAGGGAAUUCUAGAGAUCGCAAAGUUUGGGCUCUACGUCUCCGUCCCCAUCGUUCUUAUGUACACCUUCGCCAACAACACUACGAAUCUCCAGAGAUUCAUGGGAAACGUUUUGGUCUGCAGCAUUCUUAUGUUGUGUAUCCACCUGAAGCGCCGAGACCUCCGUCACCAGAGGAAAUGAGAGAGAUGGCGCGAGAACUAGCUAGGAAGAACAAUACCCGUUGAUGCUUUAUUUGGGGUUCUUUUCUUUUGUAACUUGUAAGUGCUUGCUAUAGAGAAAACCAAAAAUGCUGUGUCUUGCAUUUAGAUUUCAGUCGAAAUAAUGGUGAGGCCAGGUGGGUUUUAUUUCAAGUUCAAGUGUGGCCUUGUAAUGUUCCUCAAUCCUACUUAAAAUUUCAAAUCUACUUUGCCCAUUUCAUGCUGUGUGUGGAGGACGAAGGAGCUUUUGUGACUUGGGAUGUAAAUUAUAUGUUGUGAUACACCAUGGAUGGAUUUGAAAGUGACCAAA